rnacentral:sRNA from 1 species
ACAUUUACACAUAUAAAUAAUUUAUUGACAUAUCGAGAGUUGACUUAAUCCUAACAAUUAAAUAUUUGCACAAUGUUGAAUUUAAAAUUCCUAACACCUGAAUCUGUAUUUAUGUGAGCCAAUUGCUCGGGCUACUACAGUCUACGAAGAGUACAUAAAAAUUUUUGCCAAUCUGGCCACUUCAAGCAUCUACUCCCUCCCUAAUAGAGCUCUGUUAAGGGGAUAUUAUGGACGUUACCUUAUGUCCAAAAUUAAAAAUAAACUGGAAUUCUCCCUUCGUACGACGGUCUAACCCUACGCUCAGGUAUAUAACCGGGCGUUAGAAAUUUUCACAAUAUCAAAAUCUUAACCUAAAUUCUAUACACUAAGGACAAUCACACUUAAACUACAGACAAUUACAUUAAAUUAAACUAGUCAGUACAAAAUUUUGGUGUCAUUCCAUUUUUCAUUCAAAUUAAUUAUUAAUCAAAAUUCUCUUCUUUUUUCCAGGCCGCAGGAGGAAGAUAUAUAUAUAUAUAUAUAUAUAUGCCGCUUGGCCGCACCAACCGUUCAGGACUCGAUAUUGAUGAUCUUUUUGACCUUUUCGGCAUCAGACCUACCGAGCCGACCACUCUUUGAUUCUCAGAACUUUGGCGUACCAGGGCUUAGCCUCAACCACGGACUGGGCAGCUGCGCUCUCUUUAUAUAAAAAAUUUGCUGACCUCCUCCACCGAAAACUUGGAGGGGUCAGAUAUCUAGCCGUCUUUUGUUGGGGUGUUAUCUUAAAAGAAAAAACACAACAUCGAAACACCAAAAAGACAUACACUAUUAGAACAACAGAAACUUACGAAAUUUUGGUCACACCCACACAUACACAACAAUCGGCAAAUAAAAAUAAAAAAAUUACGAAAACUUUAA